rnacentral:rRNA from 1 species
AUUGAACGCUGGCGGCAGGCCUAACACAUGCAAGUCGAGCGAGCGGCGGACGGGGGAGUAAUGUAUGGGGACUGCCCGAUAGAGGGGGAUAACUACGGGAAACGGUAGCUAAUACCGCAUACUAUCGGAUAACCCAUAUGGGAUUAGCUAGUAGGUGUGGUAAUGGCUCACAUAGGCGACGAGCCCUAGCUGGUCUGAGAGGAUGAUCAGCCACACUGGGACUGAUACACGGCCCAGAGUCCUACGGAGGCAGAAGUGGGGAAUAUUGCACAAUGGGCGCAAGCCUGAUGCAGCCAUGCCGCGUGUAUGAAGAAGGCCCUAGGGUUGUAAAGUACUUUCAGUCGGGAGGCGUUACCGACAGAAGAAGCACCGGCUAACUCCGUGCCAGCAGCCGCGGUAAUAC